GCCAAGUGAAAAGGUCAGUAAAUUCUGUUCUGAAGAAUCAGGAGAAGAAUCCAAUACGAGUGAUUAAAAAAAAAAGAAAACAAGAAAAGAAAGAAAAAAAGAAAAGAAAAGAAAGAAAGAAAACGAUGACCUUUUGAGGAUUUUUUUCCUGUGAUGUACUUUACCUUUUGCUACAUGUGAGAUCCAUAUCAGAAACUCAGCUGCCUGUGGGUGGUUUACAUUCUCAGUGAGUUUUACUUCCAUUACAUUUUUCUGAGGGGAAGAAAAAAACUGGCUUUGGCAAAGCAGGUGUGAGAAUUAAACAAGAAGGCCGCUGUAUUCUCAGAGAGGAAGGGCUGCUUCACCACAGCCUCUCACCGCACCAACCCAGACACCAGAGAGAAUGUCUUCUCACAGCAAUGUUCUCAGAAGCACCAUCAAUCAUUUGCUUAUAUAUCUUUCAACAGAUUCCACCCGUCAUCUAGUUUAGAAGAAACAAUUUGAGGCAUUAACUUGGUGAGAGAAGGCCUUGGUGGAAUCUUGUUCCUGAGUCCAGAACCUAAACCUCUGAAAGGGAGGCAGCUGAGUGUG
rnacentral:lncRNA from 1 species